AAGGCAAACAAGAACAGCAUGCGGAUCAGAUGUGUCCUCGUGUACUCUCUUUUUUUUUUGCUUGUUCCAAACCGUGGGAGGAGAAGGAACAGGAGGGAAGGGACGAGAGGAUUGGAGGAGAUCGGUGCAAGAACACAACUUUAUCGGACGGCCGUGCAGCUGGAGAGAAUUCGACACCAAAGGGACGUCUCAUAGGAGAUCUUUGGACAACACCGAAUCACAAAAUUGCUUGAAAGCUCAUUCGCGUCCAUCUGUCUUUGUCUUUUGAGUGUGAAAAACUGCACUGGUCUUUUCUCUACAGAAACACAAUUCUGAGAAUUUCCUCCAACGGUAUUCAUCACUGCGGCAGGACAAUUUAAGGGUCCCUGUGGGCUCAGACAACGCGCAUCGAGGGAAUAACCGGUGAUCCUGGCCAGGUGCACUGAAAAGAGAGGAAAUUAAUGUUUGUUUGUUUUUUUUGCCCCUUUCACACAUGGAAGAACACUCAUCACCCGUCGAUCUGCUCCACCUCCGUGUGACACGGUUUAAUAUCGGGUCUAACACAGAGCCGUGUGUUCUACAAAGUGUCAGCAAAUAGUAAACAAGACUCAUUAUAAUGUCCCAUGGGACAAAAAAAGGGAAAAGAGCGCUUGAUUGAUUCACCAAGAUCAUUUUCUGAGAUGCAGCCUAAGAGGCCCGUCCACCUCAUUAUGCAGCCCGGCGCCCAGAGCUUCCUCCCGUGCUUGAAGUCGCUGCUGAUUACAAAUGCUCAUGGCAGCGGCUCUUCCUCCUCUGGAUCCUUAUUAGCAAUUACAGCACCACAGGGCCUAUUUAUACGCAUGUGCCGCGACGGGGCGCUGCAGUGACGGCGCAGGCGUACAGCAGCUCUAAUUAGCUGCAGCCCAGGAAUGCUAAACGAGGGAGGGUGGAGGGAAGAAGGAGAGGAAGGAUGAGAGGGAAGGAAUGAUAGGUGACACAGAUCAUUUGAGACGGCUCUGCGUGUUCCAUCGGAGCAACGAGGACCAGAUGCAGCGAAAUGAAGCUCUUUGUCUCGGAGGCUCCGGAUCGAAGCGCUCAGCCGCUCUGCAACAGGACCGAAGGCUCGGCCCGAGUUAACGUUUGUCAGGGCCGGAGGUUCUGCAGGAGCAAGUUUCCACAUUUCACACACCGGAUCUGACUUGUCCAGGGACCACAAUGAUGGAGGAGGAGGAAGAGGAGGAGGAGGAGGAGGAGGAGGGUUAUGAGACAACAGGCCCCGAGAUACAGACACGCAAAAAGCCCCGCUUAUAGGAGCAAGAGCCCCAUUUAACAGAUGUUGUUCUGUGUCUUUGUGGCCGUUACAAUCUGUGGUUGUUUCGACUCCUCGUGUAGUCAUUUUGUGCCACUCAGUAGUUGUAGUUGGUUUGACUCUUUUCUGCAUUUGCAGUCAUUUUGUGUCUCUUAAGCUGAGUGUCUUUGUAAUGAUGUUGUGUCUCAUUCUGUCCCUUUGGUGUCUGUUGCAACUUGGUCUCUUAAGUCAUUUUGGAGUCUCUUAAGUCAUUUUGGAGCCCCCAUGUAGCUGAUUUAUUUCCCUUUGUAGUCGUUAUUUGCCUCUUUGUGGUAGUUCAUCCCCUUUUUGUAGUCUCUUCCAUCACUUGUUUGUUGCCUCUUUAUUGCGUUCAGUCUGUUUGUAGUCAUUUAAUGUCUCCUUGUUGUUGUCGUCCCUCUCUUCAGUUAUUUGUUGUGUCAUUGUGUCUUUGUAUCGCUCUAUACCAGGAAUUACUAUAAUAAGAUAAUUCUUGAAUUAUUAAUUAAUAAUAAUAAUGCUUAUUAUCAAUAUUUGGUUUUAGUUGUUAUUGCCAUUGAUGAUAAACCCUGGCUGAAUUACUAAUGACAAUGUGGGAAACGACGGGUGAAUGUAUGAUUCACACAAAUGAACAUUAUUAUUUUAUUGGCCCACUUUAGAAAGUUCAAUCCUGUCGGAACGACAUAUGUGAAAAAUAAUAAAAGCCUGUUGGCAAAAGGCCGGUGUGUG
ensembl:lncRNA